UAGGGAAUCUUCCACAAUGGACGCAAGUCUGAUGGAGCGACGCCGCGUGAGUGAAGAAGGUCUUCGGAUCGUAAAACUCUGUUGUUAGAGAAGAACACGAGUGAGAGUAACUGUUCAUUCGAUGACGGUAUCUAACCAGCAAGUCACGGCUAACUACGUGCUAG
rnacentral:rRNA from 1 species